GGCUUGGGGGAGAAAAGGAUAGUUUUGUCUCCUUUUUGUAUCCAGCAUAAUGCACAAUGCAUUUUUGUCUAUCUCUUAGUAGCUGUUGCUUACAAAUAUAGUUAAAAGGGUGUUAUACAAACUGUAAAGGUGUGCUUUUGAAAUGAGUUAAUGCCAGACCCUUCUGGACCAGAGUUUUGUAUCACUGAUUAAAAACUGUUACAGAGCCUGUGGUCAAUCAGACUGUAUGCUAUUUUUUGGGAAGGAUUGGAAUAAUCAGUCUAUCUACAAUGUUUCUAGGGCACCUACCUCCUCAGCAUGCAAGUGCUGAAAAUGCUACGGAUUGUUUCUGUGUAAUUGUGGGUUUGUUUGUACGAAACGUGCAGUUCACUGUGACAUGCACUGGGACAGAAUAGGUCUGUUUGCUUAAAGCUGAUCAACAAUUACUUCCACCAGUGUCAGUCCCUCGUAGUUAUGUUUAGUACCCAUUUAUGUAUUGCUGAUUCUAGAUGCAGAUUUUACAGUAUUUGUUGUUGUCUCUAAUUUGGGUACUUGAUCAGAAGUGAAGGUACAACCAAGUAGCUGAAUUAAUUUUAAGUUGGAAUGCUGAUUUUUUUUUUACACUACUCAGUUUGCCUUAUUCCAUUACGGAGAUUGUUGGGGGUUUUUUUAAUUCUUUUGCAUAAUGUUCCUAAAACCCUGUUCUGUAAACUGAGUUAGACAACAAAACCAUAGACUUGACAUGCAACUAUUACUUAGUCAUGCUCCAAGUGGCCUUCCUUCUGCCUGGCCUGCUGUAGCACUGACUUCUCACCAUCUCGACCCCGCUGCUGAUCACAGCAGGGGAGGGCACACUAGAGCUCUGACCUCAGAUACACUAUAAAAUCAAGGCAGGCGAAUCCAUUUGCACACCUGGCGUUUGUAUACGGACCUCUUUACUUGUCUUCAACUGUGCGGGUUUUUAAAGUUGUUGUCUGGAGUAGGUUACAUCUCUUAUGUGUGUUAGAUCGAACCAAAGAAGCCUCCAGCCAUGCCCAAAUGCUGCUCCUAAAGCCUGCCUUCCAGUCCUUACUAAAGCCCUGCAGGAUUAAAUGUGUUAACUUUUUUAUUUUUGUACAGUUUCUAACUGAUUUUUGCUAGUGAUGUUAAUGGAAUUACGUUUCUUUGGGGAGGCUGAAUAGCUCCUCCAUUGAAAUAAACUGGUGACUUUCCUUUUAUGUUAAAAAAAGAACAAAAAAAAGUUUAAAAAAAAAAAUAAAAAAA
rnacentral:lncRNA from 1 species